UUAGAACGAGACCCCCUCGACGGUCCGUCGUGCCCAUGACGGUCCGUCGUGGGAUCCGUCGACCCAGACAGUGAUUUCCAGAAAUUAACUCUGCUGCUCCAAACGACUAAACAGGUCGUUACACAUGUCUUCCUCGCAAAACCCAUAGGUGUCUAAGUAAGUGUUCUUGUAUCAAUGCCUGGCAGCCUGCUAGAGUUUCAUUCGCAGUGGCUUUUGCUUGUCAAAGUGGAAACAUUUUGGAAAUGGAUUUUGAGCCAUUUACUACGGUAACUCCUCCAGUGACUCCAUUGGUAAUGGUUUGGAGUUUCUUACUCGCCACAUUGCUUCGACAAUGUUCCAUGAACAGGGAGAUUAUUAAGAGCCUCGUUGACUUUCUCAGACACCAUAACUACAAAGGAAAGGUAGUAAUGUUAACUAAUAAAGGGGUGCAAGCAAAAAGAAUCAUUUGAAUCUACAAUGUGGUAUAUGGCAAAAGAUACUAAUCUCAAGAUGUAUAAAGCAUGACAAAGUAAUCAAAUAGUAACUUAUAGUACAUCAAGAGAGAAGUGAUUACUAAUAUCUUCAGGUUGCUAAGAUGUUAGAAAAGCCUCCGUUCAGCCGAGGGACUUUCUGGAGACACAGGUGAUCUAUUUUAGCUGAGGCAUUUGUUGGACCCUUCAUUUCAAUGCCGAAGAAUGAAAGUGUUGUCACUUUGAACAUCUCCAUCCUCGCGUUUUCUGUCACGUUGCAGAUGCGAAGCUACAAUUUAGUAUCCUUUUCAUUUGGUUAGCGUCAAUUUUGUUGAAAAUUUAGUACAAAUUGGUUAUCUAUUUGUGUAUAUUUCUCUGCUUAGUGCUGAUUGUAGAAAAUUUUAAAAUUUAUUUAGUUACAUGGCAUUUGGUUUUCAUAUGUGUUUGAUUAUAGGAGGAUGCAGGAUUGAUGAGGUUUAUUGACCAGUCUCAUAUUCCCGACAAUCAGCCUGCUAGAAUUUCAUUCGCAGUGGCUUGUGCUUGUCAAAGGUAGUUUGAGUCAUGAAUUUGAAGAUAAUAAUACUCUACAAUUUUUUGCUUUGUGACUGAUUUUUUUUUUUGGUUGAUUCUUAAUGUUUGUGUCUCAUUUACUACUGUAACUCCUCUAAUGUCUCUUUUUGACUCUAUUGGAUAAUGGUUUGGAGUUUCUUACUUGCCACAUUGCUUCAACAAUGUUCUAUGACAAGGAUAUUACCAAGUGCCUCGUUGACUUUCUCAGACACCAUAGCUACAAAGGAAAGGUAGUAAGGUUAAGUAAUGAAAAAGUAGGCUAUUGCUUUUGGUUAAGCUGUAUGAUUAUUAUGUGUGGUUCUAACUAUGUCAAGUUGAACGGUGAAAGAAAGCAUCCAAAACAUGAAAAGUUUCCAAUUUAUCUUGAAAAAAGCAGAGUAAUAUCUGUGGACCCUGAAUCCAGAAAAUCCGUACUCCGUUUUGAAUCCCAGGUUGAAAAGAUUGGCUUGGAAAGAGUGUGGGGAAGCACUGCUGAAUGCCUGCAAGAAACCAUCAGUCAUCUGUUGUACCUCGUUGAGGCUCCUAAUGCAUCUUCUUUGGAGAACUUCCUCGGAAAAAUCCCAUUGGUUUUCAUGUUUGGACAUGAUUGCUUCCAGACCACUCAAAGAGUACUUCUAAAGGCUUAAAUGUUUCAGCAUUCACUUCGUUGGACAGAACACAAGUUUUAAACAAUUUUUUGUUGCUCUUACUGUUUACAUUUGGGAGGGUGUUUUCGAUGACAAUUUUGACAAAUAGUGCUUUUUGUUGUCUUGAGGACUCUAGUUGAAAAAAUCCUAAUUCAAAGUUUUUGUUGCUGUGGUUCUAGUUGACCACCAGCUUCAAUAAGAGCAAUGCUCUGCUUGAGGUAUGUGUGUGCUAUGUACUGCCUCUUAGGCCUUUCUUAUUUGACGUGCUAUUUAUCGAAACAACAAGAAUUAAACCAGCUGGUUCAAACUAGCUAGUGUAAGAAACACUAGCUAGAAACUCCUCAUAACGUUACCUAUCUAAAAAAGAAAACUCCUCAUAUUCACACCAAAGCCUUCAGGAUCCGAUCAUCUUCAUUUGCUUCAUUAUAUUCUUUUUCGUCAACCUUUGUGCUUUAAAUAGACUUAUAUAAUGUGUUUUACUCCUUCGAUAAAUGAAGUUGUUCUCUAGUUUUCUGGAACUUUUGUUUCAUGGAGGAAAAAAAGAGGGGGUUCAAGUAAAAAUAAUUAUUUGAAUCUACAAUGUGGUAUAUGUCAACAGAUACUAAUAGGUUCUCGUUUUCCCUUAUUCUUGUAUCUUUUGAUUAAUUGUAGUCUUUGUGGAGUGUAGCCUCCGUCAGCCGAGGGACUUUCUGGAGGACACAGGUGAUAGCCUUUUUUAGCUGAGGGAAGAUUCCAAUUGGUAAAUCAACUGAUUUGUUUCGAGAUUUGUAUUCUCCAGCGUCAUUAUCGGAACGUCUUGAAGUUUGGAUUUGAUGUCGUCAACUUUGUCGGCGAUGUCUGAAGAAAAGCUUGGAGAAAGUUUUCUGUGUAUUUCCUUGCUCAACAAUUCUGUACAUACUAAUUCUAUUUGUAUAUUUUUCCUACCCUUUAAUUUCUGUCUAUAAAACAAAAUAAGACAGAAAUAAGAAUGAUACUUACACUUGGCAAAGAAUAAUUUCAAUUGGUUCAAGUGUUGACUUCUUGUUUUCUCUUCCAACAUCUGCAUAGGAUCCAUGGCUGUAACUAUGAGAUGCAGAUGCUUGAUUUUUGUUCCCAACAACCCUCCUCAAGAUGGAGGGGAGAGAAACAACACCCAUCUUGGACAAAUUGAAAAAUGAGGACCACCAAGAGCUUUUGUGAACAAAUCAGCAAGCUGUGAAGAAGAAGGAACAAAUGAAAGAGAGAUCAAGCCGGCAAGAAAUGUUGCCUCACGAAAUGACAAUCAAGCUCUACUUGCUUGGUUCAUUCAUGGAAUACGGGAUUGCGAGCAAUGUGGAUGGCAGCUUGACUGUUCCGAAUGAACUGGAAUGGAUAAAGAUGGAGAUACAGAGAGAUCUUGAAGAAGUCGAGUCAACCAGAUCUUCUAGUAUCCCGGGAAUAUGCCCAAUCGGCAUCGCAAAAAGCCAAAUGGGAAAGAGAAGAGGUGGAAUUAUAAAAUAAACCUCAACUUGGGUCCAAUCUAAUGUAUCUAAGUACUCGUAAUGCAGCAUCCAAAUGACCAUGACAAGGGUGCUGCACAUAUUGACUUAGAGUGAGGACAGCAAAUAAGAGAUCUGGUCUGGUGUGAGUGAGGUAGUUUAGUUUGCCCACAAGUCGCCGGUAAACGGUUGGAUCAGCAAGAAGGGGACCAGAAGAAGCGGUCAAUUUGGUUGAAGCAUCUAAGGGAGAAGAUACAGUAGGCAUAGCCUCUAAGUCAAAUUCUUGUAAUAACUCCGAAGUAAAUUUGCGUUGUCGGCGAUGUCAUCAGUGAGUAUGGAGCUCUAUCGUGCAUUUGUUUGACCCUUGAUUUCAAUGCCAAAGAAAGAAGUGUUGUCACUUUGAACAUCUCCAUCCUCGCGUUUUCUGUCAAGUUGCAGAUAGGAAGCUACAAUAUAGUAUACUUUCAUUAGGAGGAUGCAAGAUUGAUGAGGUUUAGUCUCAUUAGUUCCCGACAAUCAGCGCGAAGUAAUGAAAAAAACUUGACUGGUUCUUGUCCAAGAAAUGGAGAUAUAAACUGCUUAGUGAGGCAAUGUUGUUCGUGGAGUGAUUUCUGGUUUUCAGUUUCUACAGGUAAACCAUUAUAAUAGAGACGCACAUAACCAGUGUUAUGAGAAUAUUACGAGAGAGGAAUGAUAGAUAAGUACAUUGUAAGUUUAUUGGGUGUUGCUGCAUUAGUUCUAUUUUGGAGUCCACUGCUUGGUACUGCUACUUACUAGCUACUAAUUGCUAUUUGAUGAAGUUAGCUUAUUCUGCAAGACUCUCACCUUAUACUGAAGGGUAAUAAUACAAAAAAUGUAGUAAUAUUUUCUUACUUACCACAUUGCUUUGACAAAUGGUUAAGCCGUCUGAUUAUUAUGUGUUCUUCUAACUACGUCAAUUUGAACGGUGAAAGAAGCAUCCAAAACUUGAAAAGUUUCCAACUUGUUCUGAAAAAAGCAGAGGAGUAUCUGUGCACCCUGAAUCCAGAAACUCCGUACUCCAAUUUUGAAUCCAUGGUUUAAAAGACUGGCUUGAAAGAGUUUCGGGAAACACUGCUGAAUGCCUGCAACAAACCAUCAGUCAUCUGCUUCCUAAUGCCAUCUUCUUCGGAGAAUCCAUUGGUUUUGCUAGUUUGGACAUGAUCGCCUCCAGACCACCCAAAAAGCACAAUUUUUAAACAAUUUAUUGUUGCUCUUACUGUUUAUUUUCGUCUGGGUGUUUUCCUUUGAAAAUUUAGUGCUUUCGGUUGUCUUGAGGAUUCUUGUUGAGUACAUUCGUAAUUCAAUAGUUUUGUUGUUGUGAUUCUAGUUGACAAUCAGCUUCAAUAGAACCAAUGCUUGGCUUCUCGA